rnacentral:ncRNA from 2 species
GGGUGUUGUAGUCUCCGAGCCUGUGAUCCCUAAAUAUUCUUGGGAAGGAUAUGAGGAAGCAGGCCAGGGCCAGGUCGGAAACGACUGGGCCUCCCGGACUCGGAAAGGAGAUGGGUACGCAACUCA